rnacentral:other from 1 species
GUUUCCCUGGAGUGUGCGUGAUUUAUGCCUCGGUGCUGACCUGACAAAGAUUACAAAAUAAGGAGGUCUUUCCCUGCUCUUUGUGUGCACGCCCGGUUCCGACCGGGAAGCCUGAAAAGGCAUACAGGCCUCCGACCUGGAAAACCAGGUUCUGCACCGCACGCGUGACACGGCUCUUCGGGGUUAUU